CAGGUCGAGUGGAACUUGGAAGGGAUGGCGUAACUUCGGCGCCAAUGGAGCGCGGUUCCUGAACUCUUCUUAUUGUUGGCACUGAUUUAAAGCUAGAGAAACUGUGGAGUAGCUGACAUCUAUACUAAUAUUAUAAAGAGAUAGUUUAUGGUAUUGUAGGGGGUAAUCUCUGUAUUUACUGACCUGCUUUUGAAAAUUCUUUUACCACAAAAAGGCACGCGAGUGUCAUAGGCUAUAUUUUAUUCCCGUAUCCGCGUAGUUCCCGUUCACGGGAAAAUGAAUGAAAUAAAUGAAUUAUAAGUAAUAUAAAUUAUAACAAUAAUUGGUUUUGUCCAUGUAGGUUAAUGCCCAAAGAAUGAUCACGCUGGGCAUGCGGAUUGGUCAUUCGCAGGGAUGGAUUUUUCCGCACCGGUGUCGCUGCUGCCCGACACCGGCCUGUGCCAUUUAUAAAAUCCAGCCUGUUGAGAAUAGUUAUACCGCUAGUCGGUCGCCAGAGCAUCGUCGGUCCAUUUGCAGGGUGCACCAUGAGCAGGAGCGUAGUUUUCGUGUCCGGUGAAGCGUCAAGUGCGAGCCCACCGCCUACCCGUUCCCACCGACAGAAGGGCGCGCCGCGCUGUCACCCGAAGCCCUACGCAGGCUAAUUGACUCAUCCACUAAGCAAAUCUGUAAGAAAGAACAUCAUGCACUUAUUUGUUUACCUCUGCGUUUAGGAUAAACUACAUUAAUUGAGCAUAUAACAAUUACAGUUAAGUUUCAUUUCGUCAAAUAGGUCAAUGUCAUUAAUCUACAAAAACCUACUCGUUAAUAAAGUUGAACUGUCUUUGA